AGCAGCCGCGGUAAUUCCAGCUCCAAUAGCGUAUAUUAAAGUUGCUGCAGUUAAAAAGCUCGUAGUUGAAUUUCGGGAUCAUCAUGUCGGUCGUGCCUCGGUACGUACUGGCAUUGUUGGUUUCUACCUUCUGACGAACCAUGAUGUCAUUUAUUUGGUGUCGUGGGAAAUCAGGACUGUUACUUUGAAAAAAUUAGAGUGUUUAAAGCAGGCUCACGCUUGAAUACAUUAGCAUGGAAUAAUGAAAUAGGACGUUUGAUUCUAUUUUGUUGGUUCUAUUUUGUUGGUUUCUAGGAUCGACGUAAUGAUUAAUAGGGAUAGUUGGGGGCAUUAGUAUUCAAUUGUCAGAGGUGAAAUUCUUGGAUUUAUUGAAGACUAACUACUGCGAAAGCAUUUGCCAAGGAUGUUUUCAUUAAUCAAGAACGAAAGUUAGGGGAUCGAAGACGAUCAGAUACCGUCGUAGUCUUAACCAUAAACUAUGCCGACUAGGGAUCGGAUGAUGUUAAUUUUUUAAUGACUCAUUCGGCGCCUUACG
rnacentral:rRNA from 1 species